rnacentral:rRNA from 1 species
CGUCGACAACACAUUUAGAUCCCGGCUCAGAAUGAACGCUGGCGGCGUGCUUCCACAUGCAAGUCGAGCGAGGCGGGUAGCAAUACCCAGUCGAGCGGCGAACGGGUGAGUAACGCGUGGAUGACCUGCCCUUUAGUGGGGAAAUACCCGGGGAAACUCGGGCUAAUACCGCAUAAGACCGAGAGGUGAAAGCGGGGUCGCAAGAUCUCGUGCUGAANGAGGGUCCGCGUUCGAUUAACUAGUUGGUAGGGUAUGGGCUACCCAGGCGACCAUCGAUAGGCGGGCUGAGAGGGUGAUCCGGCACACCUGGGACUGAGACCCCGUUCAGACUCCCACCGGAGGCAGCCGGGGGGGAAUUUGCGCCAGGGGCUUACCCCCGAGCCACCACGCCCCGGUGGGGGAUGAAAGGCUUUGGGAUGUAAAACUCCUGUCACCAGGGGAAAAGGGGAAAGCGCUCCUACCGCUUUAAAUUUGAUGUUCCCCGCGGAAGAAACCCCCGGCUAAUCUUGUGGCCGCAGGCGCCGGUAUAAAGAAGGGGGAAGGGGUUUUUCGAAAUAUUUGGGGGAAAAGGGGGCGGAGGCGGCUUUUUUUAGAGAGGGGGGAAAACCCCCGGCUUAACCCAGGAAUUGCCCUUUGGGAAGUGUAAGGUUUUAAACCCGGGAAAGGGGGGGGGAAAUUCCCCGGGUGGGGGGGGAAAAGGGGGAAAAAUUUGGGAGGAAACCCCCGGGGGAAAAGGCGGUUCCUUGGACCCGGUACGGACGCUUAGGGCCCGAAAGCCGGGGGGAGCAAAACGGAAUUUAAUUCCCCUGGUAAUCCCCGCCCGAAAACGAAUGAAUGGCUUGGGGGGGAACGGGGUUUCCGCCCCCCCGGGGGGGGCCCAAAACCCAACCCAUUUAAGCCCCUCCCCCC